UCAGAACAAUGCAAAUGUUAAAAUCAAAUAAAAUGCUUCGAUACAUCGAAAUUAUUUGCUUUAUUCAAACGAAAUAACAAAAGCUGAUUUGAUAUCGUUAUGACGUACAAUGUAAAACACAACGCAGACAGUUUACGGCCGCUGUCCGAGAAAAUAAAACAUUGCUACUAUUAAUGAAGGACCACAUAUUAUGCGAAUGACAAUAAUUUACUUUAGG